UGACAAAAUUGACUUUUGUGAGACAAAAUUGACUUUUGUCUCAACAAAAUUGAAAAAUUGAAUUUUGUCUCACAAAAUUGAUUUUGUCUCACGAAAGU
rnacentral:sRNA from 1 species